UUUAAAUGGCCGCAGUAUACUAACUGUGCAAAGGUAGCAUAAUCAUUAGUCUUUUAAUUGAAGGCUGGUAUGAAUGGUUGGACGAGAUAUUAACUGUUUCAUAAAAAUUUAUAUUAGAAUUUUAUUUUUUAGUCAAAAAGCUAAAAUUUAUUUAAAAGACGAGAAGACCCUAUAAAUCUUUAUAUUUAAAUUAUUGUAAUUUUAUAGAUUUUUUUUGUUGUAAUAGUUAAUAAUAUUUUAUUGGGGUGAUAUUAAAAUUUAAUAAACUUUUAAUUGUUUAAAAUCAUUAAUUUAUGAAUAAUUGAUCCGUUAUUAACGAUUAAAAAACUAAGUUACUUUAGGGAUAACAGCGUAAUUUUUUUGGAGAGUUCAUAUCGAUAAAAAAGAUUGCGACCUCGAUGUUGGAUUAAGAUAUAAUUUUAGGUGUAGCAGCUUAAAC
rnacentral:rRNA from 1 species